GAUGGACAUUUCUCUCUCUUUUUUUUUAAGAUUUUAUUUAUUUGUUUGACAGAGAGCAUAAGCAGGGGGAGCAGCAGGCAGAGGGAGAGGGAGAAGCAGGCUCUCCGCUGAGCAGGGAGCCCGAUGCAGGGCUCGAUCCCAGGACCCCGGGUCACGACCUGUGCAGAAGGUGGACACUUAUCUGACUGAGCCACCCCGGCGCCCCACGAUGGACGUUCCUGCGUGCAGAUCCGGCUGGUCGGACAACCAGGGCUGCAGCGUGCCCCACCUCCAGGCCACCUCCCCUGAAGGGCAAGCAGCUGUGCCAUCCUGAGCAGCCUGCCCAGGCGAGCGAGUGGCCCAGCGUGUGCAUCUGGCGAGAGGAACCUUCUGCUGACCCUCUUCCAGACCCAUGGCACCCUUGGGCAACAGCGUCUGGGACCUUGGGCCCACGGAGCUGAAAGGAUGCACGUGUGUGGGCCCCUGCCUCCGUGGCACGGGGCAGACUCGGGGAAUCUUGCUUCUGCCGCAAAGCCAGGAGGUGCUCAGAGGUGCCGAGAGCAGCACCCAAGGCCAACGGGCCUCCCACACGGGCCCAAGAUGUGUCGGGCAGCAAGAAGUCUCAUUAACACUCAAACAAGAAAAGUUAACAUGAAGUAGACCAGCGAAGUAUUGCAGGGAAUAAGCAGGCCAAGUGUGCCUCAAGAUUGCUGUGGUCUGAGUCAAGAAAGAGUGAGCACAGUCCCCCCAACCCCCAGGCCUCGGGCGAAGGAGCCCGGGCAGGACCUGAGCCUCCUGCCAUGGCCAGGCCAAAUCUCCAAAUGGAUGGACAGAGACCCGGACCUCCAUGCACGUGAAACCCAAAGAAUCCCUCAUCUCAGGGAACAUGAAAGAGGGGGCAUCAUCGAGAGUUUCCUCAACCUGUGCAGACGUUUCGUUCCGGAGCAGGCCAGGAUGGGCCAGCCUCACUCGGGGCGGCACUGGGCCCCCCUGUGGCGCCCAGCCCAGAGCCGAGCUGCCCGCUGCCCGCGUCAGUAGUCCGAGCCCUCGGGAUGCUGAGAACACGCCUAAGGAAGAAGCGGCAGCCCAAGGAGAAGCUAGAGUUCAGCACCUUCAGUGCCCGCCCUGGUGGAUCUCGUACUGUGUGGAGACACAGAGAGAGAGAGGCAGAGGGAGAAGCAGGGUCCACACAGGGAGCCCGACGUGGGACUCCAUCCCGGGUCUCCAGGAUCACGCCCUGGGCUGAAGGCCACGCCAAACCGCUGAGCCACCGGGGCUGCCCUUGUUAAGUAUUUAAAAGUGUUUUUUUUUAACGCAUUUGCAACCAAUGUUUAAAUGUCAGGGAAAUUUUAGGUGGCUCAGGCACUUAAAUGUCUGCCUUCAGCUCAGGUCAUGAUGCUGGGGUCUUGGGAUCCAGCCCUAUGUCGGGCUCCCUGCUCAGUGAGGAGCCUGCUUCUCCGUCUCCCUCUGUUGCUCCCCCUGCUUAUUCUCUCUCUCUCUCUCUUUCUUUCUCUCUCUCUCUGUCAAAUAAAUAAAAUCUUUUUUAAAAAUGUCAGGGAAAUUUUGUUAAAUCCAUACAUUUUGAUACACCAAGUAAGGGGGUGACUAUAGUGAGAAUUCUUUAUUACACAACAUACAAUUUAUAAAUCCCAAGAAUUUAUCAAACCACUGGCAUUUUUUUUUCUAUUUUGAAAAUUUCAAACAGAGGCCACAAUGAAGGGAAGCACAGCCCGGCUUCAACAUUAAACCAAGGCGUCGCCAGUGGCCCCUGGGCCUGUGGUGCUGAAGGGUGGGCACUUGGCGCCUCCCUCUCAGAAGCGGGGGCUCCCAGGAUCUGAGGUCAAUGUGUGAUAGGAUCUCCGUCUUCUGGAAGCUUCAAUUCUCCCUGGGAUGAGACAGAUGCCUGCAUGGCAAAUCGCUGGAAAUGGGAGCAGCAGUGCACAGCUCUAAGGAGCUUUGAGGGGCGCAGGCUUUGAGGAGCUAAACGGCCUGGCCAACACGCAGAAGGCCCCUCGGCCCACCUGAGACCAGUACUCUUCCUGGUGGUGACAUCAAGGUGCCUGAAAACUGGGCACUCCCACCCACAGCCCCCACCUGUUAGAGGGGCAGGAUUAGUGCCCGUGUCCUCAGACUCCGGAGAGCAGGUGGUGGCAGGGGAAUGACAGUGGCAUAUGAAGAGGCUGGAGGCAGCUGUAGCUCUUGGGACAGCCCUGCAAUGGCUUCUGGGAGUGCAGGUCUCCGGAAGGGGUGCCAGGUUGUGGCCUUGGACCCCUCCUCUAAAUGGACCAUCCUGGCUGGCCACCCAAAAGGAAAGAGGGCUUGAUCAUCAGAGCCGAGGAGGGGAGACGUGUCCAGAACCACGCAGGCCUGCAAGAAGGGCCCACUGUACAAGGCCCCGUGGGGCACUGGGGAAAAUGAGGCCCGCUGCCCCUCACUGUCCAGUAGCACCGCCUGUGGAGAUGGCAGCAGGCACACUUGGGGCAGGGGCCUCUCUUCAGCCACCCCUGUGGGAAGGGGACUUUGCCCCCAACGCCCAGAGUGCCUACUUACUCACGGCCCCGGGAAGUGGGUGUGAGCACCCAGCUCCUGGCUCAGCUCGCAGCCCCCCUGCGCCCACUCCCCACUUGGCCGAGGCCGCAGCCCCUGCUCUCUGCUCUGCGGCCUGCGGGCACUCCCAGGAGAAGUGCCAAGCCGGGGCGUUUUCACGCUGGCCAGUGGCAUCUUAAUGAAGCCGCUUGCUUUUCUUAGUCCUUUUUUAAGACUUUACGUACUGUUAUCAGAAGCGUGAUCCUUGGCGUGGCGGUCGCUGCUUCCAGAUUUUGUUGCAGCCAGUCAGCGCACACACAGGCUCCUGUUCCCACCACGACGAUGAUGUUGGAAAACCGGACCCGCAGAAGAACUAAGGGCAGAGAACACACUCCAGGGGGGGCUUCCUGCCACCCACAGACCUGGCAGGAGCUGGCCUUCGAGGACACAGGGAGGGGCCUCUGUCCCAGCUGGUGACCACGGGGGAGGGCUCAGGGAGGGUGGCCCUCCAAUGAAGAGCCUGCCUUGUCCUCCAGGGCACGUCCUACCUGAUGGGAAAAGAUGCGAGCUGCAAGCCAUGGGCAGCAGGCAGCCUCGGAGAGCCCGAGAGCUGCGGCCUCUUCCUUAACCCGGCCUCCAUCAGCCCUGGCCCCCGCUCCCACCUUCACUGUGCAAUGAGGUCACAGAAGAAGCCGUCCUGGGGAAGAAUCUAGGAAACGUGUUCUGGGAUGAAGGGGGGGUCACGAUCUGAUCGGAAGGCCUUUUCCCGGGUGGUGCAAGCAAGAGUGGGGUGUCCGGAAGCCCGAGUGUUCCCAGGGCAGGUGGUCGCGACCAGAGCAGGGCUGGGCUGCCCUGUGAGCCCAGUGGAAGGCACGGUGGCACCUGCUGGAAGCAGAGGGUUCAGCACGAACUUGACGCAACCAAGAGCUGAUAGAGACCUGGCAGCGGUUUACGUAGAGGCGCCGAGGCUCCAAAGUCUCAUCUUGUGAACUCAUCUGGUUUGAAGUAGUACAACAAGCAGGGAAGGGAAGCGAAUCAAAGGCAAGAUUUGUGUGUUUUUUUAAAUACAGAAAGCAUGUGGGGUAGACCAGGAAGCAGCCCCAGCCUCCCCUCGCAGGGCCGGCUGGCCUGUGGGGCCCUGUCACACCCCUCACUGCUCCCAGGCUGGGGCCAGGUCACAAUACAGAGGUGGCCUCGGGGUGAGGGGGGCAUGUGAGGAUCAGGUUUGUGCGGAGGCGUCAGACAUGCCCAGUGCAGAUGCCUGGUCCUGCCCCCUGGCACCUGUGAAACUUCGUCGGAACCCACGCAGAGGAGGAGAGGACGGUCCCCGCUGUUCACACAGGCCUCCGGGACUCACACCGCUCCAACGGGGCAGGGGUCAGCACCCAGCACUAAGGGGAAACUGAGCCACUGAGCCAUGGGGCCCGUGGGACCUGGGAGGUAUGCUCUCCUUCGCACCCAGCUCCAGGUGAGGCCAUACCCCUGCUGCCCCUGGAAUCGUUCCUUUUGUCCCAGAAGCAGCUCCUCAGGCCCCCCACUCCCACCGGCUGCCUGCACAGGGUGCCUCUGCCCCCUCCCCCGGCAGCUGUGGCCCUAUGGAAUUCUCCAGUGCGCAGACGCUUUGAUCUGCAACACACCUGGAGCUCAGUCCCUCGCCUUCACCCACCCGCCGCCAUGCGGGUCCCACACACUCUGUGGACUUCCCCAGCCAGAGGGAAGGGAUGGCAGAAGCCACACAGCCACCAGGCUUCCUCUUCCUCUGCAGUUCCAGGCUCGAGGUGCCACCGGACUCCCCUCAUCCCACAGCAGAACCUCUGUGAACAGCCCUCUGCACCCCAAAUGCUUCCCUGAGGGGGAGACUUGUAACCAGCCCCUCCAGCAUGUUGUCGUCAGAGACGUGCCCAGAGCUGCCUGUGCCCUGUAGCUCACCCAACAGGCCUGUUUGGGGCACUUUCUCUUUGGCUCAAUAAAGGCAUGUGGUUGGAGCACCUGGGUGGUUCAGCAGUUGAGCGUCUGCCUUCGGUUCAGAUCAUGAUCCCGGUGGUCCGGGAUCGAGUCCCACAUCGGGCUUCCUGCGUGGAGCCUGCUUCUGCCUCUGCCUGUGUCUCUGCCCCUCUCUCUGUGUCUAUCAUGAAUAAAUA